rnacentral:rRNA from 1 species
UUCUGAGAGGAAGAUUAAUACAAGAUGGCAUCAUGAGUCCGCAUGUUCACAUGAUUAAAGGUAUUCCGGUAGACGAUGGGGAUGCGUUCCAUUAGAUAGUAGGCGGGGUAACGGCCCACCUAGUCUUCGAUGGAUAGGGGUUCUGAGAGGAAGGUCCCCCACAUUGGAACUGAGACACGGUCCAAACUCCUACGGGAGGCAGCAGUGAGGAAUAUUGGUCAAUGGGCGAGAGCCUGAACCAGCCAAGUAGCGUGAAGGAUGACUGCCCUAUGGGUUGUAAACUUCUUUUAUAAAGGAAUAAAGUCGGGUAUGCAUACCCGUUUGCAUGUACUUUAUGAAUAAGGAUCGGCUAACUCCGUGCCAGCAGCCGCGGUAAUACGGAGGAUCCGAGCGUUAUCCGGAUUUAUUGGGUUUAAAGGGAGCGUAGAUGGAUGUUUAAGUCAGUUGUGAAAGUUUGCGGCUCAACCGUAAAAUUGCAGUUGAUACUGGAUAUCUUGAGUGCAGUUGAGGCAGGCGGAAUUCGUGGUGUAGCGGUGAAAUGCUUAGAUAUCACGAAGAACUCCGAUUGCGAAGGCAGCCUGCUAAGCUGCAACUGACAUUGAGGCUCGAAAGUGUGGGUAUCAAACAGGAUUAGAUACCCUGGUAGUCCACACGGUAAACGAUGAAUACUCGCUGUUUGCGAUAUACAGCAAGCGGCCAAGCGAAAGCGUUAAGUAUUCCACCUGGGGAGUACGCCGGCAACGGUGAAACUCAAAGGAAUUGACGGGGGCCCGCACAAGCGGAGGAACAUGUGGUUUAAUUCGAUGAUACGCGAGGAACCUUACCCGGGCUUAAAUUGCAGAUGAAUUACGGUGAAAGCCGUAAGCCGCAAGGCAUCUGUGAAGGUGCUGCAUGGUUGUCGUCAGCUCGUGCCGUGAGGUGUCGGCUUAAGUGCCAUAACGAGCGCAACCCUUGUUGUCAGUUACUAACAGGUCAUGCUGAGGACUCUGACAAGACUGCCAUCGUAAGAUGUGAGGAAGGUGGGGAUGACGUCAAAUCAGCACGGCCCUUACGUCCGGGGCUACACACGUGUUACAAUGGGGGGUACAGAGGGCCGCUACCACGCGAGUGGAUGCCAAUCCCCAAAACCUCUCUCAGUUCGGACUGGAGUCUGCAACCCGACUCCACGAAGCUGGAUUCGCUAGUAAUCGCGCAUCAGCCACGGCGCGGUGAAUACGUUCCCGGGCCUUGUACACACCGCCCGUCAAGCCAUGGGAGCCGGGGGUACCUGAAGUGCGUAACCGCGAGGAGCGCCCUAGGGUAAAACUGGUGACUGGGGCCAAGUCGUAACAAGGUA